GAUGAACGCUGGCGGCGUGCCUAAUACAUGCGAGUCGAGCGAACAGACGAGGAGCUUGCUCCUCUGACGUUAGCGGCGGACGGGUGAGUAACACGUGGAUAACCUACCUAUAAGACUGGGAUAACUUCGGGAAACCGGAGCUAAUACCGGAUAAUAUAUUGAACCGCAUGGUUCAAUAGUGAAAGACGGUUUUGCUGUCACUUAUAGAUGGAUCCGCGCCGCAUUAGCUAGUUGGUAAGGUAACGGCUUACCAAGGCAACGAUGCGUAGCCGACCUGAGAGGGUGAUCGGCCACACUGGAACUGAGACACGGUCCAGACUCCUACGGGAGGCAGCAGUAGGGAAUCUUCCGCAAUGGGCGAAAGCCUGACGGAGCAACGCCGCGUGAGUGAUGAAGGUCUUCGGAUCGUAAAACUCUGUUAUUAGGGAAGAACAAAUGUGUAAGUAUCUAUGCACGUCUUGACGGUACCUAAUCAGAAAGCCACGGCUAACUACGUG
rnacentral:rRNA from 1 species